rnacentral:rRNA from 1 species
AAACUUUCAACAAUGGAUCUCUUGGUUCCGGCAUCGAUGAAAAACGCAGCGAAAUGCGAUAAUUAAUGUGAAUUGCAGAAUUCAGUGAAUCAUCGAGUCUUUGAACGCACAUUGCACCCCCUGGUAUUCCGGGGGGUAUGCCUGUCCGANCGUCAUU